GUUUAUUUGUGUCCCUUACUACUUGGAUACCCGUGGUUUUCUAGAGCUAAUACAUGCUAAAAACCCCGACUCACGAAGGGGUGUAUUUAUUAGAUUAAAAACCAAUGCCCUUCGGGGCUCUUUGGUGAUUCAUAAUAACUUUUCGAAUCGAUGGCCUUGCGCCGGCGAUGGUUCAUUCAAAUUUCUGCCCUAUCAACUUUCGAUGGCAGGGUCUUGGCCUGCCAUGGUUACAACGGGUAACGGAGGGUUAGGGCUCGACCCCGAAGGAGCCUGAGAAACGGCUACUACAUCCAGAGGCAGCAGCGCGCAAAUUACCCAAUCCGAUUCGGGGAGGUAUGCAUAAAUACUGAUACAGGCUCUUUUGGCUGAAGGAAUGA
rnacentral:rRNA from 1 species